rnacentral:lncRNA from 1 species
CCCUAAAAUAUUUUCAUGCGUUCGUUUCUGCUUAAUUGUAAUAUAUUUAUUAUAUAACUAAUAAUAUAUGUAACUAUAAGUUACAAAAUAAAAAUACUAUAAUUUUUAUAUUAUAAUAUUAUAUAUUUGGGGUCCCAAAUAUAUUUGGGACUCCUCACAAAAAUAUAAUUGAAAAAUCACAUAAAGUUUAAUCACAAAAGAUCAUAAUAUGUAUGACGUACUGUAGUUUAAAUUAAAUUAAUAGCAACUGUAAAUAUGACCUAAGUUUAAGUAUGUAAAUACAUUGAACAACAAUUUUGGGCUCUUAUGCAUAAAGCUACAGAGUAGGUGGUAGCCGUGGCAUACACUGCAUACCCCAUGUGCACGCUUAUGUCAAUAAAUUUAAAUUAUGCACGGUGUAUAAACGAAUAGAAGAUUCCUAAAAUUGUCGAUUGACAAUAAUUAAUCACGAAACAAUAAAAGGUAGACUAGUUGAAACGACGGUGUUCACAAUACCACCGAUUUAUGAUAAAACCGAGAGUCUUAACAGUUGUUAGUUAUUAGUAUAUAUUGUAUACCCAGUAAACUAACUAAGACACCUACCUGGUUAGUUCACCGAUUAAUAACGGCUGUUUGUGAUUUCUCACAUAAUCGAUCUACUAUACUAUAUAAUACUGUUAAAUAAUAAAUAUAUAAUCGUUUUUGCGGAGAGUUUUCCGGCGUGGCUUACAACUGCAUAAUAAUACCGUAGUUGCAGCAGGUGGGCGGUUACGCGUGUGCCGUCGUCAGGUAUCUGUUGCUGCAUGUGUACGUGACGUUACCGUUGUAGUAAUGGGUGCGAUUUUUAACUUCGGUCACCUAGACCUAUGAGGAGAUUUGUAUAUGUGACACUCAUACAGCUAGAUAACCAAAGAGAAAAACCAGCUACCCGGUUAGUGGUGUAGGUACGCGUCGAAACGAUUCUGCACGGCACGUUCGACGUUAUGGCACAGGGUGUCUGGGCGUCUGGAGGUCACAAUCCGUAUUGUUUCGAGUAGACGCAGCCGUUGGUAGUGUAUAACACAGUAUAUUAACAUAAAUCAUUAUUACAAAACCUGACGGAUAUACCUGCAAAUGUCUGAAGAAAAUUACGCGUGUAACCUGUAGUGGUAGAUCUGAACAACUUAUUUAAGGGGGAGGGGAGUCAAAUAACACUUACUAGACACAGUAACUGAAAAACAUAUUUCGGGAGAGAGGCGAGUAUCAAAAAAGUGUAUAUGAAUGCGUUCAUAAUUUUUAUGGACACCUUGUCUCACAGGUACUUGUAUACAUUUUAAUUCAAAUGCCAAACGAUUUUCUUUAAAAAAGUCUAAGGACGCCUCGUCGUAACCCCCCUCCCCUUACAAAUUCGUCACCGCAUAAUGUAUAGAUAUUGUCUACACGUUUUCUGUUAAUAACGGUUGUAAAUUUGACAUUUUUAACUAAAUAUAGUGUAUCUAGGUAACAUUACCUACCUAUACGGCUGAUAACGGCCACAAAAGUAUAAUAUUUUAUUCUAACGGUAGAAACAUCGAUACAUAAUAAUAAUAAUAAUAAUAAAAAAAAAAAAAAAAUGUUUACUGUUAUAUAUUAUUGUUCAGUGAUGUAUCAGUUUUGCCCGAGUAGUUUUGCUCGAUGCUUUUGACGUCCCGCCGCCUUCUAAUGGACCGUCAUCCGUUUGAAUACUCCAUUCGGUAUCGGACGAAAAGCAUUUUUCUGACCAUACUGAAACGUCGCUCGGGCGGUUUGCGCAUAUAUUACGGAUCGGCGCGCGUGUUCACAGUAUAGGCAUACACGUUAUAAUAAUACACUCACUGCUAUUAUUAUUACGGCUUUCCAAAUGUUUCUUUAACGACAAAAUAAACAAAGGAAUCAUGGACAAUAUAUAAUGUACCUACGUUGCCCAUGGCGGCGAGUGUGCUGUGCAGGUCGUCGUCGUUGUCGUCGGUUUAGAAAUGUCCUAAAAUCCCUCCUCGCCCCGCCCCGCCGAAACCCGACCGGUUAACGAGAUUCAUAAAUGCGAUGAUAUUGAAAAUAAUAUUACUAAUACUAACACUACAAAAAAUAUUAUAUAGGCUGUUAUAUAAUAAUAAUGUUUAGGUAGGGUAACGCAGGUGCAUCAUGAUGCAGGUAGGCAUUCACUGCAGCAGUAGUUCCAUACGUUUAUAUUCGUUAUAAUAUUAAAUUUUAAUCCGUAGGAUCGCUGGGCCGUCCGUUGUUGAGCAAAAAUACAUAGUUUGACAGUGCACAGUGACGUGACCACGGGUAGGGAGGUCAGGGGGCUUAUCUUCUCUCCCACCAUUGGAUUUUCAACACAACAAUGUGUAUAUAUUUAGUAAUUCAAUACUGAAAUCUAUAGGUUUCAGUCAAGCUAGAAGGAAAAGUCUGAUCUAUUGAUUAAAACUUGGUUUUUCCAGCUUUUUAACUCCCAUUAUUGAGUUGUUAAUAGAAGAAGAUUCUACGAUAUGAUUAAUAUUAAUAUUUGCUACAUCCCCUUCAAUUGGAAAUUUUCUGUGGCACGCCACUGCCUAUGCGAUUAUUGUAUAUUUUAUUUAAGGCGGGUCUACAUGGACAAUAAUAUUAUAAUAAGUAUCAUAUUUUGGAAAAUGUUCCUUAUCCAUAUACAUUAUUAUCAUUGUGGAUAUUAUUAGUUUGAUAUAAACAAUUUAUAGGUAUGGCAGAACUAUUUAAUUUAAAUGUUUAUAAAUAAUAUAUUAUGAAAAUAAAUGCGGUCUUUUUUAAAAUAUUAAACGGAAUUUAAAAAUUAUAAAUUAUCAAUU